GCCCAGAUAGCUCAGUUGGUAGAGCAGUGGACUGAAAAUCCGCGUGUCGGUGGUUCGAAUCCGCCUCUGGGCACCA
rnacentral:tRNA from 2 species